UACGGAGGGGGCUAGCGUUGUUCGGAAUUACUGGGCGUAAAGCGCACGUAGGCGGCUUGGUAAGUUAGAGGUGAAAGCCUGGAGCUCAACUCCAGAAUUGCCUUUAAGACUGCCGAGCUAGCAGGUGAGAGAGGUGAGUGGAAUUCCGAGUGUAGAGGUGAAAUCCGUAGAUAUUCGGAAGAACACCAGUGGCGAAGGCGGCUCACUGGCUCAUACUGGACGCUGAGGUGCGAAAGCGUGGGGAGCAAACAGG
rnacentral:rRNA from 1 species